UGGUGAUUAGUAUAAUAAAAACAUUUGAUUUCGGCUCAAAAGAAUGCGGUUAAACUCCUCAAUCACCCU
rnacentral:tRNA from 1 species